rnacentral:rRNA from 1 species
UACAGAGGUCUCAAGCGUUGUUCGGAUUCAUUGGGCGUAAAGGGUGUGUAGGUGGCGCCGUAAGUCGGGUGUGAAAUUUCGGAGCUUAACUCCGAAACUGCAUUCGAAACUGCUGAGCUUGAGUACUUAAGAGGAUCGCGGAAUUCCCGGUGUAGAGGUGAAAUUCGUAGAUAUCGGGAGGAACACCAGUGGCGAAGGCGGCGAUCUGGGAAGAUACUGACGCUGAGGUGCGAAAGCGUGGGGAGCGAUCCGG